rnacentral:rRNA from 1 species
AUUGAACGCUGGCGUCAGGCCUAACACAUGCAAGUCGAGCGGAGCGGCGGACGGGUGAGUAAUGCCUAGGAAUCUGCCUGGUAGUGGGGGAUAACGUCCGGAACCGGGCGCUAAUACCGCAUACUAUCAGAUGAGCCUAGGUCGGAUUAGCUAGUUGGUGGGGUAAAGGCCUACCAGGGCGACGAUCCGUAACUGGUCUGAGAGGAGGAUAAGUACCACGGGAAAUGAGACACGGUCCAGACUCCUACGUGAGGAAGCAGUGGGGAAUAUGGGACAAUGGGUGAAAGCAUGAUCCAGCCAUGCCGAGUGUGUGAAGAAGGUCUGCGGAUUGUAAAGCACUUUAAGUUGGGAGGCGUUACCAACAGAAUAAGCACCGGCUAACUUCGUGCCAGCAGCCGCGGUAAUAC